rnacentral:rRNA from 1 species
UGGGGAAUAUUGCACAAUGGGCGCAAGCCUGAUGCAGCCAUGCCGCGUGUAUGAAGAAGGCCUUCGGGUUGUAAAGUACUUUCAGCGGGGAGGAAGGGAGUAAAGUUAAUACCUUUGCUCAUUGACGUUACCCGCAGAAGAAGCACCGGCUAACUACGUGCCAGCAGCCGCGGUAAUACGUAGGUGGCAAGCGUUGUCCGGAUUUAUUGGGCGUAAAGCGAGCGCAGGCGGUUUCUUAAGUCUGAUGUGAAAGCCCCCGGCUCAACCGGGGAGGGUCAUUGGAAACUGGGAGACUUGAGUGCAGAAGAGGAGAGUGGAAUUCCAUGUGUAGCGGUGAAAUGCGUAGAUAUAUGGAGGAAGACCAGUGGCGAAGGCGGCUCUCUGGUCUGUAACUGACGCUGAGGCUCGAAAGCGUGGGGAGCAAACAGG